GCGUUAAGUCGACCGCCUGGGGAGUACGGCCGCAAGGUUAAAACUCAAAUGAAUUGACGGGGGCCCGCACAAGCGGUGGAGCAUGUGGUUUAAUUCGAUGCAACGCGAAGAACCUUACCUGGUCUUGACAUCCACAGAACUUUCCAGAGAUGGAUUGGUGCCUUCGGGAACUGUGAGACAGGUGCUGCAUGGCUGUCGUCAGCUCGUGUUGUGAAAUGUUGGGUUAAGUCCCGCAACGAGCGCAACCCUUAUCCUUUGUUGCCAGCGGUCCGGCCGGGAACUCAAAGGAGACUGCCAGUGAUAAACUGGAGGAAGGUGGGGAUGACGUCAAGUCAUCAUGGCCCUUACGACCAGGGCUACACACGUGCUACAAUGGCGCAUACAAAGAGAAGCGACCUCGCGAGAGCAAGCGGACCUCAUAAAGUGCGUCGUAGUCCGGAUUGGAGUCUGCAACUCGACUCCAUGAAGUCGGAAUCGCUAGUAAUCGUGGAUCAGAAUGCCACGGUGAAUACGUUCCCGGGCCUUGUACACACCGCCCGUCACACCAUGGGAGUGGGUUGCAAAAGAAGUAGGUAGCUUAACCUUCGGGAGGGCGCUUACCACUUUGUGAUUCAUGACUGGGGUGAAGUCGUAACAAGGUAACCGUAGGGGAACCUGCGGUUGGAUCACCUCCUUACCUUAAAGAAGC
rnacentral:rRNA from 1 species